rnacentral:ncRNA from 1 species
ACAAAGACAGUGAAGUGAACUAGUAAAUAUUCUUUAGAUAUCAGAGACAUUGUGGGUGGUGAAAACAAUGCGUUAAGGAAUAUUGAAUUCAUCAUGGAGUUGGAUACUGAUAUGUAGGUAAUCAUCGGUCACUAGCCGUUAUCUAGUAAAGUUAUAUACUUAUAAAGAUUAUUAGUGUGAGCUAAUGAUGAAUUUGGGGUGGUACCACGACCUUGUCGUCCUCUUU